AACGAACGCUGGCGGCGUGCUUAACACAUGCAAGUCGAACGGACCGGCCCUGCUUUUGUGGGGUGCUCGAUUGGCGAACGGGUGAGUACCACGUGUGUAACCUGCCCUUGACUUUGGGAUAACUUCAGGAAACUGGCGCUAAUACCGGAUAGGAGCUCCUGCAGCAUGGGGGGGGUUGGAAAGUUUCGGCGGGUGGGGAUGGACUCGCGGCUUAUCGGCUUGUUGGGGGGGUAGUGGCUUACCAAGGCUUUGAGGGGUAGCCGGCCUGAGAGGGUGACCGGCCACAUUGCGACUGAGAUACGGCCCAGACUCCUACGGGAGGCAGCAGUGGGGAAUAGUGUACUAUGGGCGGAAGGCUGAUGCAGCAACGCCGCGUGGGGGAUGACGGGCUGCGGGUUGUAAAGCGCUGCUGUCUGUGACGAAGAGUGAGUGACGGUAAUGGGUAAAGAAGCCCCGGCUAACUACGUG
rnacentral:rRNA from 1 species